rnacentral:rRNA from 1 species
GAUGAACGCUGGCGGCGUGCCUAACACAUUCAAGUCGAACGGUGACGGGGGCUUCGGUCCCCUGAUCAGUGGCGGACGGGUGAGUAACGCGUGAGCAACCUGCCUCUGCGUGGGGGAUAACGAUUGGAAACGAUCGCUAAUACCGCAUAACGUAUUCCCUUGGCAUCUUGGGAAUACCAAAGAUUUAUUGCGCAGAGAUGGGCUCGCGUCUGAUUAGAUAGUUGUGGGGUAACGGCCUACCAAGUCGACGAUCAGUAGCCGGACUGAGAGGUUGAACGGCCACAUUGGGACUGAGACACGGCCCAGACUCCUACGGGAGGCAGCAGUGGGGGAUAUUGCACAAUGGAGGAAACUCUGAUGCAGCAACGCCGCGUGAGGGAAGAAGGUUUUCGGAUUGUAAACCUCUGUUUUUAGUGAAGAAUAAAUGACGGUAGCUAAAGAGGAAGCCACGGCUAACUACGUG